UACGUAGGGGGCAAGCGUUGUCCGGAUUUAUUGGGCGUAAAGAGCGUGUAGGCGGCCAGGUAGGUCCGCUGUGAAAACUCGAGGCUUAACCUCGAGAUGUCGGUGGAAACCAUCUGGCUAGAGUCCGGAAGAGGAGAGUGGAAUUCCUGGUGUAGCGGUGAAAUGCGCAGAUAUCGUAAGGAAGACCAGUGGCGAAGGCGGGUCUCUGGACAGUUCCUGACGCUGAGGCACGAAGGCCAGGGGAGCAAACGGG
rnacentral:rRNA from 1 species